rnacentral:rRNA from 1 species
GAUGAACGCUGGCGGCGUGCCUAAUACAUGCAAGUCGAGCGAACAGACGAGGAGCUUGCUCCUCUGACGUUAGCGGCGGACGGGUGAGUAACACGUGGAUAACCUACCUAUAAGACUGGGAUAACUUCGGGAAACCGGAGCUAAUACCGGAUAAUAUAUUGAACCGCAUGGUUCAAUAGUGAAAGACGGUUUUGCUGUCACUUAUAGAUGGAUCCGCGCCGCAUUAGCUAGUUGGUAAGGUAACGGCUUACCAAGGCAACGAUGCGUAGCCGACCUGAGAGGGUGAUCGGCCACACUAGAACUGAGACACGGUCCAGACUCCUACGGGAGGCAGCAGUAGGGAAGCUUGCGCAAUGGGCGAAAGCUUGACGGAGCAACGCCGCGUGAGUGAUGAAGGUCUUCGGAUCGUAAAACUCUGUUAUUAGGGAAGAACAAAUGUGUAAGUAACUAUGCACGUCUUGACGGUACCUAAUCAGAAAGCCACGGCUAACUACGUG